rnacentral:rRNA from 1 species
CACGUAGGGGGCAAGCGUUGUCCGGAUUUAUUGGGCGUAAAGAGCUCGUAGGUGGUUCGGUAAGUCGGGUGUUAAACCCCCAGGCUCAACCUGGGGACGCCACUCGAUACUGCUGUGACUAGAGUCCGGUAGGGGAGCGUGGAAUUCCUGGUGUAGCGGUGAAAUGCGCAGAUAUCAGGAGGAACACCAGCGGCGAAGGCGGCGCUCUGGGCCGGUACUGACGCUGAAAAGCGAAAGCAUAGGGAGCAAACAGG